CCUACGGGUGGCAGCAGUGGGGAAUAUUGGACAAUGGGCGAAAGCCUGAUCCAGCCAUGCCGCGUGUGUGAAGAAGGCCUUCGGGUUGUAAAGCACUUUCAGUGGGGAAGAAAGCCUUGGGGCUAAUACCCUCGAGGAAGGACAUCACCCACAGAAGAAGCACCGGCUAACUCCGUGCCAGCAGCCGCGGUAAUACGGAGGGUGCGAGCGUUAAUCGGAAUUACUGGGCGUAAAGCGCGCGUAGGCGGCUGAUAAGCCGGUUGUGAAAGCCCCGGGCUCAACCUGGGAACGGCAUCCGGAACUGUCAGGCUAGAGUGCAGGAGAGGAAGGUAGAAUUCCCGGUGUAGCGGUGAAAUGCGUAGAGAUCGGGAGGAAUACCAGUGGCGAAGGCGGCCUUCUGGACUGACACUGACGCUGAGGUGCGAAAGCGUGGGUAGCAAACAGGAUUAGAUACCCCUGUAGUC
rnacentral:rRNA from 1 species